AGCAGGAGGAGCAGCAAUGGUAGUAGCUGCUUGUGCAUCCAAUUAUCAGCAAAAGUGGCUACGCUUCCUGUUGGUUCCCCUGAUACAUAUUUGGCUUGCAUCUACUUACUGAGGCACAACAAGAUUUUACAAUAUGAAGAAAUGGCGGAAGUCACUAGAAACCACAAAGACCAUGAGCCCGGACAACAUACCAUGCAGCACAACUAAAGACCAGUGCCCCACAAUCAACUGCUCCGCAAACAAAGCUCCUCCAGGCCAACUUCAAUCUGGCACUCCCAGAUGACCUCUGUCUCCACCUUCCAACUCCCUGUGUGAACUGAUAUAGUUCAAGAAAACACAAUUGCAGCAGGAGAGAGUGUGGGCGGAAUCAUUUUCAGCAGCGGGAGGUGAUAAAUGAAAUGCAAGCUGGCCAUUUCGAAGCAACUGAAAAUUGCUUCUGUAUUGCAACCUAUUCUUGAGCUCCUGGGGAGAAAAUUAAUCUAACAGUGUUAUAAGGAGGAGGCAGAAUCAAGUCAAGAAUGAGAAAGGAAGAGAAAGAAAACUGUGAUGCUGUUUCUUGCAAGAAGAGGUUUUGUUCCUAUAUCCUGGUACAAA